rnacentral:lncRNA from 1 species
AAGUAGUCCAGUAUAUGUUAAACAUGGUAGAAAUGUGUUAAAUCCAAUAAAUGUAUACAUAUUUAUACAAUUAUCAUGAUGCACAAAAAAAAGCAAAAUAAAAUGCAAUCAAACAAUAAGAAUGAAAAAUGUUAUGAACCACACUCAGUUCCCACAGUCCUCUCACUGGGUGUAGAUGGCUCCCUUCAUCACUGAACAAGUGACACUGGUUUGAAUCACCUCAUUGUUGAAGAGAACCAUGUCCAUCUUGUUUCUGUGUACAAUGAUCUCCUAGUUCUGCUUAUUUCACUCGGCAUCAGUUCAACGUGAACAAUUUUCAGAAGUAACCAUGGCAAUCUAUAGCCAUAUGGAAAAAUAUUCUCAUUAUUGUAAAAAAGCAAAUUAAAGCAUUUCUGAAGUACUACCACAUAACUAUGAGAUCAGCUAAUAGUACAGAAAAAGAAACUGAUUAAAUUUUGAGAGGAUAUGGAGAAAAUAAGACAUUAUACAUACCCUUUGACAUAGCAAUACUACUAUUAGGUCUGAAUGCCAGGAAAUUAAAAAAAGAAAAGAAAAAGGACUCAUGUUCAAAUGAAAAAUAUUUAUAAGCAAGUCUUUUGUGGUGGCAAAGAAUUGGAAAGGAAAGGAAUGUCCAUCAAUCGGGAAUUCAUUGUGGUGUUAUUGGGAAUAAAUUGUGGUGUGUUAUUACAGUGGAAUACCAUUGUGCUCUAAAAAAUGAGCAGGAUGCCUUCAGAAAAAUGUGAAAAGAGCCGAUACAAAGUGACAUGUACUGUGUACAAAGAAAUAGCAAUAUUGUAAGAUGAUCCACUGUGAAUGACACAAUUAUUUUCUGCAAUACAAUGAUCCAAAACAACUUUAAAGGAGUUAUGAUGAAAAAUGCGAUCCAUUUCCAGAGCAAGUGCUAUUGGGCUCUGAAUGCAGACUGAAGCAUAUUUUAAUUUUUCUUGAGGGUUUUUGGAGAGACUCUGUCUUCUUUCAUAGCAUGACUAUGAUGGAAAUGUUUUGCACGACUAUACUUGUAUAACCUAUAUUGAAUUGCUUGCAUUCUGAAUGGGGGAAGGUAGAAGGGAAGAUGGAAAAGAAUCUGGGGGAAAAAAAGGUAAAAACCCUGUUUUGUUUUUUUUUGUACCUGGGGUGAGGGGAGGAAAUACUAAAGAAAAAAGGGAACACAGGGAGGAGUGUGCAGUUUUAUAUUUUGGAGACAUAGUUUCAAAUUACUCUCCAGAGUGGUUACAAUCAGUUCACAACUCCAUUUUUUCUUACAACUCCUCCAACAUUUAUUUUCUGUCAUAUUAGCCAAUCUGAUAAGUAUGAAAUAUCAUUUUUUAUAUGACUAUAUAAAUAACUUUGAUUUCAUCUGAAAAUUGACUGGUCAUAUCCUUUGAUCAUUUAUCAAAUGAAGAAUUACUCUUAAAUUUGACUCAGUUCCUCAUAUAUUUGAAAAAUAAGGCUUUAUCAGAGAAACUUGUAAAUUUUUUGUUGCUUGCUUUCCUUCUAAUUUUGGCUGAACUGAUUUUUGUGCAAAAAUUUUAUCAAAAUUAUCCAUUUAACAACUCAUAACACUUUCAUUUGGUCUUAUUUCUUCCACUAUCCACAGAUCUGACAAGUAAACUAUUUUAUGCAUCUAUAAUUUGCUUAUGGUUUCACUAUGUCUAAAUCAUGUAUCCUUUUUAAACUUAUUUUGGUAUAUGUUAUGGGAUGUUGCUCUACAUUCAAUUUCUGCCAAACUGCAUUUUCCCCCCCCAAGAAUUUAUUUCAGAUGUUAAGUUCUUGUCACAAAAGCUGGGAUCUUCUCAUUUAUCAAACACUAUAUUACUAUAGCCUUUUACUACUGUGUAUACUCAUUUAUUCCACUAGUGCACCUCUCUAUGACAUGUAAAUGUCCCAAAUUCUUGAAUAUUUGUUUACAAGUGAUUGUAUUGUUUUGAUUAAAUUGUAAUACAGACAACAAUACCAAAAUACAUACAUUUUUUCUAAAGUUUAUUGCUCUGAAAUAAAUUGUCCUUUACAGUUUUGAGAUAAGUCAAAUAUUGCUUAAUUUUCAUGAUUCACAGACAAAACAAAAAGCAAUAGAGAAAGAGUAAUUUUUGUGAUCAUGACUUUAGGGAGUUUAUUUUAAAAGGGUCAUUUUCAGAAAUAAUAACAGUAAUUACAGUUGUCGAAGGAUUAAGCAAUUUAAGGAUCAUAUUCCUUAGUAAUUUAGAAGUGAACAUUUCUGAGUAUAGUUUGUAGUAGUUUAGGGAAAAUGUGUCUGUCAGACAUACAGUAUAAGUAUGCAAGUCCAGACUAGAACGUCUGCAUACUUAAUAUGCAGAUUCCUUACAUUUUUAGAAAUACCUUGUGCAGUAUCCAUAUUUAAAAUUUUGUAUUCAAUUUACUACAGUUAUACACAAGACAAAAGUUACAUCUAACAGAGGAAUCAGACAUUAAUGAUUCAAGACAUUUAUGUCCACUUCAUCUAUAAUUUAAAAAAAAAAAACUUCCUCCCUCUAUGUAAUUAGGGACUUUUUGCCUUCACAGAAAUAACAGAGUUGAACUAUCACACACACACACAAAAAAAAAAAAAAAAAACCCUAAAUCUCAUAAAAACAAGCAUGUUAGCUAAAAAUAUUUAUAUAAAAUUAUGUAUUUUGUGCGAAUUUAUAACAGCUAAAUAAAUUCUCAAAUUUAAUUGGAAUAUUGCUGUCAUAAAGGAUUCAGAACAGUAUGUGAUGACAUGACAAUGAAGGAAAUAAAUUAAAAUUUGUAAAACUAUAGAUAAUGACAAUGAUGUAAAUGGGGGGGGAGUAAAAUUAAAUUGACCACUGUGCAGUUAUAAUGACCAAACUUGGCCUUGGAAAAGAGCUGAGAAAAUGGACCUCCUUUCUUUCUUGGAAAAGACAGAGGACUAUAUUUUCUUCAUAUUGCAUAUGAUUAAUAUUGCACAUGCUCUCCAUCAUGGUUGAUGUGUUGAUUUUACCAAACUGUUCUUCCACAUCCCUUUUUUAACUUCUCAGAAAUAGCUUCCUUUGUAAAGUUACAUUCAGAAAUUAUGAUGUGCAAACAAAAUGUAUCAAUAAAAAUAGGAUUUACCAAAAAAAAAAAAAAAAAAAAAAAAAAAAAAAAAUCCUUGGUUGCAUAGCCCAUUUCCUGCAGUGACUGCUAUCCACUUUGAUUGUUCCUUAUCCUGGCUGUCUCUCGUGAGUUUUAUAGACAUUAAAUUUAAACUAAAGUUCAAAACUUAAUGUUUUCCUCUAUAGAUUAAAUAUGAAUGACUUAGCAAUUGUUCAGUAAAAUAUUUUUAAAGUGCAUUGUGCUAGGCAUUGGUGAUUCAGAGAGAAAAACAAUCCCUGGCUUCAAGAAAUUUACAUUCUAUUGAUUAAUACAAAAUGUAGAUGAAAAAGCCAAAAGUAGUCAUUGUUGUGGACAUCAAAAAAGGCUUCCCAAAGAAGAGUAUAUUCUACCUUGAAGGAAGCUAGGAAUCCUGUGAAAUGAGGAUGAGAAUGAAGUGAAUUUUAGGAAAGGAGGGAAUUUUAGGAAAGGUAUCAAGGCAGAAAUAUUAGGAAAAUGACAGCUGGAAUGAAGAAAUUAUGAAGGGGUAUAGUGUAAAAUAAGUCUAGAAAAUUAAGUUGAAACUUUUCAUAUCAAUAUAAUAGAAAAGUGAAUGCACACCAAUUGGGGAAUGAGCAAACAUUGAUACAUAUGUGAAAAUAUUAUUUCAUCAGAAGUGAUGGACAUUUAGAAAAUCUUAUGUAAACUGAGUUAUAUAAUCCAAUGCAGAGCAAAGUAAGCACAGGAGGGAAGGAAGGAAAAAGAGGGAAGGAAAAGAAGGGAGGGGAGAGAAGGGAGGGAAGGGAAGGAAAGGAAGGAAGGAAAGGGAGGGAAUAAAAGGAAGGAAGAAAUCAAAGGAGGGAAGAGAGAAAGGAAGGUUUAAGGGAGGGAGGGAUAUUCAGAGGAAGGAGGAAAGAAAGGAAGAAAGAUAAUAAAAAUAUUAUGCUAAUAGAACUGCCAAGACUUGGCAAUUGACUGUAUACACUGUGACACAGAAAAGAACAAAAAGUCCAAAAGUGCAAAACAAAGUCAAUGGGAAGAUAUUGGUACUUCAAUUGAAAUAGGAAGUUUUGAGACUGGGAAGGUUUAAAGGGGAAGUUAAUGAGUUCUGGUUUGGACAUUCUAAAGUGGCCCAAGUACUUGGUAUAAAUAUUAAAUUGAGUUUUCUGGUUAAAAUGUUAAAUAAUAUAUAAUGACCAACUCUGAUGAAGAUGGCUGUUUUCAAUAAUGAGGUGAUUCAGGCCAAUUCCAAUAGACUUGUGAUGGAGAGGGCAAUCUGAAUCCAGAAAGAGGAUUGUAGGAACUGAAUGUGGAUCACAACAUAGUAUUUUUAUCUUUUAUAUUGUUUGUUUCCUUUUUGUUUCUUUUUUUUCUUUUUGAUCUGAUUUUUUUAUGCAGCAUGACAAAUGUAAAAAUAUGUUAAGGAUUACACAUGUUUACCCUACACUGGAAUACUUGCUGUCUGGGGGAAAAGGGAGGAAAGGAGAAAAAUUUGGAACACAAGGUUUUCCAAAGAUAAAUAUUGAAAACUAUUUUUGCAUGUUUUUUUAAAAAUUAAAAGCUAUUAUUAACAAUUUCAUAAAAUAUGAUUCUUGUUGAUAUAAAAAUUAUUUUUCUAUAGGAGAUUAUUUUUUCUGGAUCCAUUGUUUGUUGAAAAAAAUAAUUUAUCUCAAUUUCACAUUUUUAAUUAACUAAUAUAAUUAUAAG